rnacentral:rRNA from 1 species
CAUGCAGUCGAACGGAACGAUGGAGAAGUUUACUUUUUCAGGCGUCGAGUGGCGGACGGGUGUAGUAAUGCAUAGGAAUCUGCCCUAUAGUUUGGGAUAACUACUCGAAAGAGUGGCUAAUACCGAAUGUGGACUACGGUUUAAAGCAGGGGACCUUCGGGCCUUGCGCUAUAGGAUGAGCCUAUGUGGGAUUAGCUAGUUGGUGAGGUAAAGGCUCACCAAGGCGACGAUCUCUAGCUGGUCUGAGAGGAUGAUCAGCCACACUGGGACUGAGACACGGCCCAGACUCCUACGGGAGGCAGCAGUGGGGAAUAUUGGACAAUGGGCGGAAGCCUGAUCCAGCAAUACCGCGUGUGUGAAGAAGGCCUUCGGGUUGUAAAGCACUUUUGUCAGGGAGAAUGGCAGUUGAGGUUAAUACCCUUAGCUGUUGAUGUUACCUGAAGAAUAAGCACCGGCUAACUCCGUGCCAGCAGCCGCGGUAAUACGGGGGGUGCAAGCGUUAAUCGGAAUUACUGGGCGUAAAGGGCGCGUAGGCGGUUACUUAAGUUAGAUGUGAAAGCCCCGGGCUUAACCUGGGAAUUGCAUUUAAUACUGGGUAACUAGAGUGUGGUAGAGAGUAGCGGAAUUUCUGGUGUAGCGGUGAAAUGCGUAGAUAUCAGAAAGGAACACCAAUGGCGAAAGCAGCUGCUUGGGCCAACACUGACGCUGAGGCGCGAAAGCGUGGGGAGCAAACAGAUUAGAUACCCUGUAGUCCACGCUGUAACGAUGACAACUUAUUGAUGGGAGGGUUACCUUUCGUUGAUGUAGCUAACGUGUUAAGUUGUC